GAAUUAGGGUUUGACCCAAAGCCCAUUGAAGCCAGUGGGAGACUUUCUAUCGACUUCAAUGGGCUUUGGAUCAGACCCUUAGCAC
rnacentral:pre_miRNA from 1 species